rnacentral:rRNA from 1 species
CCAGAGCCCGAUAGCCCCCAAGUAGAGUGAUCGAAGAAUGAAAAGUACUUUGAAAAGAGGGUUAAAUAGCCCGUGAAAUUGUUGAAAGGGAAGCGUUUAUGCCCAGACCCGGGCCUGGCGGAUCAUCCGGUGUUCCUCACCGGUGCACUUCGCCUGGCCUAGGCCAGCAUCGAUUUCCCCCGGGGGACAAAGGCCGCGGGAACGUAGCUCCCCUAGGGGAGUGUUAUAGCCCUAGGCGCAAUGCCCUGGCGGGGAUCGAGGUUCGCGCUCCGGCAAGGAUGCUGGCGUAAUGGUCAUCAACGACCCGUCUUGAAACACGGACCAAGGAGUCGAACAUCUAUGCGAGUGUUUGGGUGUGAAAACCCUCACGCGGAAUGAAGGUGAAUGGAGGUGAGAGCCCCUCGGGGGCGCAUCAUCGACCGAUCCUGAUGUCUUCGGAUGGAUUUGAGUAGGAGCAUAGCUGUUCGGACCCGAAAGAUGGUGAACUAUGCGUGGGUAGGGUGAAGCCAGAGGAAACUCUGGUGGAGGCUCGCAGCGGUUCUGACGUGCAAAUCGAUCGUCAAAUCAUGCGGCAUGGGGGCGAAAGACUAUCGAAC